rnacentral:rRNA from 1 species
UACGUAGGGUGCGAGCGUUGUCCGGAAUUAUUGGGCGUAAAGAGCUCGUAGGCGGUGUGUCACGUCGUUCGUGAAAACCUGCAGCUUAACUGUGGGCGUGCGGUCGAUACGGGCAUCACUGGAGUUCGGCAGGGGAGACUGGAAUUCCUGGUGUAGUGGUGAAAUACGUAGAGAUUGGGAAGAACACCAGUGGCGAAGGCGGCUAUCUGGACGGUUACUGACGCUAAGACGCGAAAGCGUGGGGAGCAAACAGG